CCUACGGGAGGCAGCAGUGGGGAAUUUUGGACAAUGGGCGAAAGCCUGAUCCAGCAAUGCCGCGUGAGUGAAGAAGGCCUUCGGGUUGUAAAGCUCUUUUGUCAGGGAAGAAACGGUGAAAGCUAAUAUCUUUUGCUAAUGACGGUACCUGAAGAAUAAGCACCGGCUAACUACGUGCCAGCAGCCGCGGUAAUACGUAGGGUGCAAGCGUUAAUCGGAAUUACUGGGCGUAAAGCGUGCGCAGGCGGUUUUGUAAGUCUGAUGUGAAAUCCCCGGGCUCAACCUGGGAAUUGCAUUGGAGACUGCAAGGCUAGAAUCUGGCAGAGGGGGGUAGAAUUCCACGUGUAGCAGUGAAAUGCGUAGAUAUGUGGAGGAACACCGAUGGCGAAGGCAGCCCCCUGGGUCAAGAUUGACGCUCAUGCACGAAAGCGUGGGGAGCAAACAGGAUUAGAUACCCUGGUAGUCCACGCCCUAAACGAUGUCUACUAGUUGUCGGGUCUUAAUUGACUUGGUAACGCAGCUAACGCGUGAAGUAGACCGCCUGGGGAGUACGGUCGCAAGAUUAAAAACNCAAAAGAUUAAGUACGGACGUGAGACGUAGCGAACGAGACCACGAGGGAGGGUUAGGAGG
rnacentral:rRNA from 1 species